CUCUGUUUGGUUGUAAGAAGGGGGGGGUCAGCUGAGCAACCUUCCUUCCGGUUUGAGUUGUCAUGUGUCAUAUUUGUCUGGGGGGAGACGCAUUUUAUUUCCAAACCUUGCUGAAUGUUAUCCAUGAAUCUUUCUGUAAUCAUGUUUGUCCACUAGGCGGGUGAUUGGUCCAUUUGCUUCACCGGAGCCCCGUUUGCCAACGUGUUUCCGGCUGGGUCCAAGGAUAUGUCAAAAA